UGUAAUUGAUUUCAAUGAACAGAUUGUUUAUAGUUUUAGUUUUAGUGAUCUAUAAUAACACUGAAAAAAACAUCUAACACUGUUGAAAUAAGGUUUCUCAACAUGAAGGUGUAAACUGUAAAUGAUAUUAAUAUCUUUAUAACCAUUGAUUUUUUCUAACAAGGGUUGAUUCAUAUCAAAUCAAUUGCUAAUACCGACUGAAAUCAUACUGAUAUUGCUUUUUCCACAGAAAGCCUCGCCAGAAAUCGUCUGCUGCAGUGCAACAGUUAUUAUUAUCCCCAGGCGGCUCAUAUGCGGUCAGUGCGUAUGUUUUAAUUCCGCGCCUGUGGGCUUAAUUGAACAACAAAUAUUUGUUUGGAUGCAAAUGCUAUAAAACGCAUUAAGCGAGCUAGCCGCGUUUUAAAGCUAAGGCUAAUAGCUUCAGUGUUGUUUAUUGUGCCCUGAUGGUGUCAUAAACCACGCAACAAAUAUAAAUUCAAACAUUCUAGCCUUUAAGUGCGAGUCUACACAGAUAUGUUUAAAUUCUUUAUUGGCGUCUCCCAUUGCAUCGUGUGUGUGUUUUCUUAAUAGCGCAUUAGUUCAGAUGCAUAGAUGCGCUUAGGCUAUUUUUUACGUUUGCUAGGGAGCAGAAGUGCAAUUAUGCAGAAUAGUGAAUACAGACCUGCAGGAAUGAAACAGAGCUCUAUACGUGUGGAUGCCAACCGCAGGCUUUUUGACACAUCUGUCAAGAGCAGGGCCACUGCGAGCUCAUCGCAACUCAUGCGACAGGCAACAAGGGGAGAGAACGGCAGGUGGUCGUGCCAGUAGGCGAUGCCAAGGUUAUCCAUCAGGUCAUAUCACCUGUACAGGGUUUGUGAGUAGGUCACAGUAUUGUGCACCACACAGGGAGAGCAAGGGUGGUUUUAUUACCCACAAUGCAACACCACUGCGCAGUUAUUUUUUUAAUAUUGGGUUGGAAGGUGUAAUGCGUUUGCUUUUCAUUUUGACAUUAGAUGUCCCAACAGACCGACGUUGACGUUUACAAAAGGAUUUGUCCCUCAGUCAAGAUUAAACACAGGGACGAAUGCAAAACGUGUGUUUGACCAGCGUAGCGUGGUGUAGUUAUAUGGGAAGGCAGGUGAAAAGUCAACCCCGUCGCUUGGCUUGCGAUUUCCAUAAUGAAUAACAAACGCAAAGGAAAUAUUAAUAUACUCCUGACACAAAGAAUUCCCCCAUUUCCAGCAGAAAGCUCUCAGGAGACGGGCGGCAGUUGGAACUGUAGGUGCUGAUGGAUAUUCAAACAGACGGCCUUGCAGAAGAACAUCUCUGAUUACCAAAGGCAAACAGCACAGAUAUAUUCUCCACCCUGCGAGGACCGGGGACUUUCACAUAUGGCUGACAGACCACUAAACAGAGGACUUGUCAAGAUGAACAUGUCAUGAAGCCCCAACACAAAUCAAUGCUUUCCUGACACUCUCAGCUUUCCCAACCCCCCGCAAGCCAAAAUCCACUGAUGGGAGCCAGAUGUUGUUCAUAUUGACACAUCUGCACAGAAGGUUCUCCAGUUCCCCAGGGGUGACAUGAACCACAGCGUAUCUGUAUUUCUUUUCUACAGAUCCGUCGCUCAGUUUUCUCCUGUCACUUGUUUAGCUUUAGUCAACUGUGAUGUGACCGAGUCUAUUCUGACCUCAUUCUAUCAACAUGAGGCUUGUGUCUUUAAGAAUGCUUGAGACUGCCAAAGCAUCGAACUGUUGGUUUGUAAUGAUGGAUCGUGCAUUCACCACACGCGUGGCCCGUCUUCGCUUCAGAGGUCCCCGAAUCAGAAAGGAUCGCCUGUUGUCCUUGAAACUUUGGCUCGAUUCACAAAUCCCGUUAAUGUUGGGUCACGACAGACCCAGAACUGUAGCGAGAGGCGUCGACGAGAGGCUUGUCGGCUGUUUGUGAAUGUGGCAUUAUCCAAAAGAGUUUUUGGGAUUGAACUGGGGAUUUUGGGUCGCCGGGCAAAUGCAACAGCUAAAGGUCUUCAAUUCCAGCCAGUGACAGAGCGACAGACAUUUCUAUAUGUUUGAAUUAAAUCUGCCUGUUUAUCUGAAUAUAAAAGGGCUCGACGGGGACCUGGGGCCUGGAGCUUUUGAGACUUGGGGUGGCUUUCACAAAGCCUGAACAGAAAUGAAAGGCCAAUGGAAAAGAAACGGAGAGGCAGGAGGUUCAAGCUGUGAGGUGAGGGUUGUGUCACGCACAAUGGCUUUUUUGGUAGGCGCUCUGGUCAGGUUGAAAGAAGCUGACUUUCAAGAGUCAUGUAUAUUUAAUAAAAUGAAGUGCAUUUACAGUAUGCUCUGUAGGGGACAUACAGAAUAUCACCGGGAUCACAUCAACACCACUGGCCUUUGAGUUUGGCUCAGAAGCGACGGUCGUCUGUUCCCGGAUCAGCCGCUGUUGGGCUGCAAUUGAUUACCAUCUAUAUCGCACGGUCACCCGGUCUGACCUGGAACCAGUGCGAGUGAGCGGGGGGCCGAGCGGUGAUUGACCGCCUUCCCAGAAUCCUCUGCGUCUUGGCCCGUCUCGAAAGGGCUUAAUGGAACCAUCACUCCAGCGAUCCGCGGGCCCGACUCAGCCCAGCGUGUAAACGGCUGCGUCCUCCGCUCAAGGGCAGCCCGGACGACACCGCCCCCUCCCUCUCUGCAGGAGGGCUUAAUGUACCUCACGCCACAUCCCAUCAUAUCCAGGUCAUCUUUGAUGAACGGCAGUGGUGGCGCGGAGCCUGGGUUGAUGGUGCUGUUUCCACAUGGACGCAGACUCUCAGCAGGUGUUUUUACAUGGCUUUGUCCCGCGAGGUGUGGCGUUCCCUAAAUGAGACGAAAAAGUGAGAUGCAAGGGGAAAGUGAUUAUUAACUUAAUGCGAACGGCUUCUAGGGUGGCGAGAUCUUCACACGGUUCAGUAAGUAAGGAGUUCAGCCCCGCGCUUUAACUCCAGAUGAAAACAUUCGCCCGCUUUCACAGGCAAUUACUGCGGCCCUCAAUCAAACCCUCUGCUCUGAAUGUCAAGCAAGGACCUCAGACGCUUCACUGGAUUCUGGAGCUUUCUCCACCAAAAUGAAAGCUACCAAUGCUGUUGACUUAAACAUGGUCAUUUCACCCUAAACCACCGUGAGUGUUAUUUACAGUUUAUGCGAUCAUUUAUCAACUUCAAAUCUAGACUCUUUUGAGUUUGGCAGAAGUUGGACAGAGGGGCCAAAUGACUUUUAUAAAAUGAUACUUCAGACCCUAAAAUCUGAUUGGAUGAGCCAGUUUCAGCGCUAUUGUGACGUAGUCACAAACCAGCGGCUGGACGUAAAAUAAAUUGAAGUUGCAUAAAACCUUAAGUGUUAGCAAUAAAAUGUGCUAAACAAAAUUCUUUAACUCUUGUAUCUGCACUUGACCUCUUGUGUGCUAUAUGUGACCCUGGACAACAAAACCAGUCUUAAGUAGCACGGGAACAUUUUUAGUAAUCGGCAAAAAUACACGGUAUGGGUAAAAAUUUACGAUUUUUCUUUUUGCUAAAAAUCAUUAGGAUAUUAAGUAAAGAUCAUGUUCCAUGAAGAUAUUUUAUAAAUUUCCUACCGUAUUUUUGUGAGUGGAUGGCCUGCUACAGUGCCUCAGAUUAACAACUUCAAAGGUGAUUUUCUCAAUAUUUUGAUUUUUUUGCACCCUCAGAUUCCAGCAUUUUAAAUAGUUGUUGUUCCGCCAGAUAGUGUCCUAUCCUAACAAACCAUAUAUCAAUAGAAAGCUUAUUUCUUCAGCUUUCAGAUGAUGUAAAAAUCUCAAUUUCGAAACAUUGACCCUUAAGACUUGUCUUCCAGGGUCACAUAUUACAAAAUGCUGGGUUUUCAAUCCAUGGUUAUGC